GCGCCCGUAGCUCAGUUGGAUAGAGCAGUGCCCUUCUAAGGCAAAGGUCGGCCGUUCAAAUCGGCCCGGGCGUACCA
rnacentral:tRNA from 2 species